rnacentral:rRNA from 1 species
GUCUAGCGGCGGACGGGUGAGUAACGCGUGAGCAACCUGUCCCUUACAGGGGGAUAACACAGCGAAAGUUGUACUAAUACCGCAUAAGACCACGGGGAGGACAUCCUUCAGGAGUCGAAGGAGGAAUCCGGUAAGGGGUGGGCUCGCGUCCGAUUAGAUAGUUGGUGAGGUAACGGCCCACCAAGUCGACGAUCGGUAGCCGACCUGAGAGGGUGAUCGGCCACAUUGGGACUGAGACACGGCCCAAACUCCUACGGGAGGCAGCAGUGGGGAAUAUUGGGCAAUAGGGGGGAAACCCUGACCCAGCAACGCCGCGUGAGGGAAGAAGGUUUUCGGAUCGUAAACCUCUGUCCUUGGUGAAGAGGAAGAGACGGUAGCCAAGGAGGAAGCCCCGGCUAACUACGUGCCAGCCGCUGC